GUUUUUCUCUUUUUAGCACAUCAGCCAUGUCCUUACUUUAUGAGUGUGUGAAUACGGUAAUAGCAGUGCUGAUAUCGUUGUCAUCUGGAAUGCCGAAUCACACUGCCAGUAUUCAGCUGUGUGUCCAGAAGUUAAGAAUUUUAAUAGAAGACUCUGACCAAAAUUGUAAGUACUCUGG